rnacentral:pre_miRNA from 1 species
GGGGAGGAGGUCCAUGGUGGAGGAGAGGGUUAGUGUGACCCAUUGGUGGGGGAGGGAUUGGUGUGACAAGGGCUCCUGCAUCCAUGUGUCUGUCCACCUGAGCCCUCCUCCACUCGUGUGUCACUCAGAGCCUCUUUUCACCUACAUAGCCUCCCC